UGAACCUUCAUGCAAUCAGACCUGCCUUCCACAGGA
rnacentral:misc_RNA from 1 species